rnacentral:rRNA from 1 species
CCUUGCCAGCCCGCUCAGAAACUUAAGGAAUUGACGGGGCCCGCACAAGCGGUGGAGCAUGUGGUUUAAUUCGAAGCAACGCGAAGAACCUUACCAGGCCUUGACAUGCAGAGAACUUUCCAGAGAUGGAUUGGUGCCUUCGGGAACUCUGACACAGGUGCUGCAUGGCCGUCGUCAGCUCGUGUCGUGAGAUGUUGGGUUAAGUCCCGCAACGAGCGCAACCCUUGCCUUUAGUUGCCAGCAGUUCGGCUGGGCACUCUAAAGGGACUGCCGGUGUUAAACCGGAGGAAGGUGGGGAUGACGUCAAGUCCUCAUGGCCUUUAUGACCAGGGCUACACACGUACUACAAUGGCCGAUACAAAGGGCAGCGACACUGCGAGGUGAAGCCAAUCCCGUAAAAUCGGUCUCAGUCCGGAUUGGAGUCUGCAACUCGACUCCAUGAAGUUGGAAUCGCUAGUAAUCGUGGAUCAGCAUGCCACGGUGAAUACGUUCCCGGGCCUU